rnacentral:rRNA from 1 species
UGGAGAGUUUGAUCCUGGCUCAGGACGAACGCUGGCGGUGUGCUUAACACAUGCAAGUCGAACGGAAAGGCCCUUCGGGGUACUCGAGUGGCGAACGGGUGAGUAACACGUGGGUGAUCUGCCCUGCACUUUGGGAUAAGCCUGGGAAACUGGGUCUAAUACCGAAUAGGACCGCAUGCUUCAUGGUGUGUGGUGGAAAGCUUUUGCGGUGUGGGAUGGGCCCGCGGCCUAUCAGCUUGUUGGUGAGGUAAUGGCUUACCAAGGCGACGACGGGUAGCCGGCCUGAGAGGGUGACCGGCCACACUGGGACUGAGAUACGGCCCAGACUCCUACGGGAGGCAGCAGUGGGGAAUAUUGCACAAUGGGCGCAAGCCUGAUGCAGCGACGCCGCGUGAGGGAUGACGGCCUUCGGGUUGUAAACCUCUUUCGCCAGGGACGAAGCGCAAGUGACGGUACCUGGAGAAGAAGGACCGGCCAACUACGUGCCAGCAGCCGCGGUA